UACGAGGGGGGCUAGCGUUGCUCGGAAUCACUGGGCGUAAAGGGUGCGUAGGCGGGUCUUUAAGUCAGGGGUGAAAUCCUGGAGCUCAACUCCAGAACUGCCUUUGAUACUGGCGACCUUGAGUCCGGGAGAGGUGAGUGGAACUGCGAGUGUAGAGGUGAAAUUCGUAGAUAUUCGCAAGAACACCAGUGGCAAAGGCGGCUCACUGGCCCGGUACUGACGCUGAGGUGCGAAAGCGUGGGGAGCAAACAGG
rnacentral:rRNA from 1 species